AUAUGGCAGUGGAUAUGUCGGGACUUGGAACACCCAGCUUGAAACCGCGACGAUCCCGGACAAACUGAGACAUCUGGUCACCAGAGUCUUAUCAAAGGCUGGCCAUGCGAAACUAACGAGGCUCUGUUUCUAACCACUGCCACAGAAACACAUCAAUCAUCUCUCAAGGCCAGACACUUCGAUGGACAUGGAAUAUUGAUAUGGCUUUUAAGAUGUGGGGCAUGAAUAUGAUCUCUGACACCUAUCUGCCUUGCUUUGCAGCUGUUCUACAUAUAGCUGCAGAAUUAUUGGUGGAACUGCGUGUGGAGUAUUUAUUUUAAGGAAACUUAUAGCUGGUGCACUGAAACACUAGACGGGUAGUUUUAAGUGAGGAGCAGUAGGAGCUUAUUCAAGGCAGGAGGAGCCUCUGAGGUAAAAAAAAAAAAAAAGUCUUCAUGCACAGUGUUAAUAUCUCAAAUGUUUAUGGCAUUUAUCAUUAUGACAAAGAUUUUCUUUUCAGAUCAUUUCUUGUUUCCCUGACAAUGAAUGGACAGGCAAAGUGAGUUGAAGUGUUUGGUGCGUCUUUCUAGGUGUAUGGCUAUCAUAUGUGUAUUUUUGUAUGCGUACAAAUGUGUGUCACUGCUCCACAAUUAACUGGUGAAUGGAAACUUCUCCCUGAAGACGUCUCCUCAUUACCUGCUGUGUGUACUUUGAGCUCUCCCACAGUCUCCUCAACUGGAAAAAGAAAUGUCAUCGUCACCAUAAAUAACAACCCCCCCUCCCCACUUUCACCUGGCAGUCAUAGCGUGCUUUCUGCAGCUCUCCAUGCAUGAGGAUUUACUGCUUUAUAUAUAUCAUUUAAGAAUCCAUUUAAAUCAACUCCCUUUAUGUUCAGGCAGAAGAAAGAUGGCUUGGUGUAUAUAUCUCUGCAUGUGCAGGGGGACAUCUUGUUGCAUAAAUAAAAUUUGACUUCUGUG